CCUACGGGGGGCAGCAGUGGGGAAUAUUGGACAAUGGGGGCAACCCUGAUCCAGCCAUGCCGCGUGUGUGAAGAAGGCCCUCGGGUUGUAAAGCACUUUCAGUGAGGAAGAACGCCUGGUGGUUAAUACCCAUCAGGAAAGACAUCACUCACAGAAGAAGCACCGGCUAACUCCGUGCCAGCAGCCGCGGUAAUACCGAGGGUGCGAGCGUUAAUCGGAAUUACUGGGCGUAAAGCGCGCGUAGGUGGCUUGAUAAGCCGGUUGUGAAAGCCCCGGGCUCAACCUGGGAACGGCAUCCGGAACUGUCAAGCUAGAGUGCAGGAGAGGAAGGUAGAAUUCCCGGUGUAGCGGUGAAAUGCGUAGAGAUCGGGAGGAAUACCAGUGGCGAAGGCGGCCUUCUGGACUGACACUGACACUGAGGUGCGAAAGCGUGGGUAGCAAACAGGAUUAGAUACCCUAGUAGUC
rnacentral:rRNA from 1 species